UGUUCUCCCAAGAAGGAUGCUGUAAAUUCAAAGGUCUUGUCAGAUGAGAGAUGAGCCAAUAAAAGUCAGUGGAAGAAGAGAGAAGAAGUGGUGGCUGGUGAUUCCCUAAUGAGGGAAACUGAGGAGGCAAAAUCAUGUGGUGAAAUCCAGGAGUGAGAAAAGGUCAGCAUAGUCGAGGACAAUGAAUGAAGAUAACCAAAGGUUGAAAUGAGCAAUAUUGUCAUUGGACUUUACUACAGACCACCUGAACAGAAAAAGGCACAGUCCAAGGUAAGAGACACAGAAGUCGUGUCAGAACAGAGAGAACAAUCAGAAACCAAAGUAGGACUACUGACUUGGAAGCAAAAAAUGUCACGGCUAGGAUUCAUGGAGAGGAAAGACAGAGGAACAGGCCAGAGGUGAAGCA